UGGGGAAUAUUGCGCAAUGGGCGAAAGCCUGACGCAGCAACGCCGCGUGAGUGAUGAAGGCCUUCGGGUCGUAAAGCUCUGUCGGAGGGAACGAAUGCUCCUGAAGUUAACAGCCUCAGGAGGUGACGGUACCCUCAAAGGAAGCACCGGCUAACUCUGUGCCAGCAGCCGCGGUAAUACGAAGGGUGCAAGCGUUACUCGGAAUUACUGGGCGUAAAGCGUGCGUAGGUGGUCGUUUAAGUCCGUUGUGAAAGCCCUGGGCUCAACCUGGGAACUGCAGUGGAUACUGGACGACUAGAGUGUGGUAGAGGGUAGCGGAAUUCCUGGUGUAGCAGUGAAAUGCGUAGAGAUCAGGAGGAACAUCCAUGGCGAAGGCAGCUACCUGGACCAACACUGACACUGAGGCACGAAAGCGUGGGGAGCAAACAGGAUUAGAUACCCCCGUAGUCCCUGAGCGGGCUGGCAAGGCGCAU
rnacentral:rRNA from 1 species